CAUGUAAGAUAUGACUGUGGUCCUCCUUCACCUUCUGCCAUGAUUGUGAGGCCUCCACAGCCAUGUGGAACUCCAUGAGUAUGACUAUGUGCUGAGUCCUGUGAGUCCUCCUACUGAAUCAUCAAAGCCAGGGGAGAAGCUGUUUUUCCCUCUUUGGGGUCUCAGAGAGAUUGGUGGCAAGGACUCCUGGGAAGAGAAAAGCUGAAAGACACUCUGGCAAGAGGUACCACCUCUCACUGGCUGCCCAAGCAAGAUUCUAUGGCUUGGAAUAAUUCUCAGCGACUCACUCAUCAAAGGGCAUCUAUCUAGAAGCCCUGCUCCUUCAGGGACAUCUGAGGUUGAUGAGCUGAUUCAAUAAGCCAUCAGAGCUGGAAUAGUAGUAGUUAACAAUGGCUCUCUGCACUCUUUUUAAAUAACUUUGCUUUUCAGGCCAAGGUGAGAGCCUCGUGGGAAUUUCACAAAUUUUAUAGAAGCAGAGGAGUGCUAUUUGAGCAAGGGGCGGAUAACACCUACAAUCCACUCAGGAUUUCCAAGCAUAGCCCGAGGCUGAAGUACUCAUAUUUCACUACAGAAUCACCUGGGGAGCUUUUAACCUUCUGAUUCUAGUGUUUCCCUCUGGCAGAUGGAGACAGAAACUUGAGUGGGCUCAGGAAUAUGUGUUUUUAAAAUUCUCCAGAAGAUUUUAAUGCAGUACAAGUAAGAAGACAGGACUGCAAUUCACAAGAACAGUAUAGCCUGGGGAUUCCUCAGAACAGAACAGACUCAAAAAAAAAGAAA
rnacentral:lncRNA from 1 species